UGGCGACCGGCGCACGGGUGCGUAACGCGUAUGCAACCUACCCCAUAACAGGGGGAUAACACUGAGAAAUUGGUACUAAUACCCCAUAACAUCAGGACCGGCAUCGGUUCUGGUUGAAAACUCCGGUGGUUAUGGAUGGGCAUGCGUUGUAUUAGCUGGUUGGUGAGGUAACGGCUCACCAAGGCAACGAUACAUAGGGGGACUGAGAGGUUAACCCCCCACAUUGGUACUGAGACACGGACCAA
rnacentral:rRNA from 1 species